GCGUGUUUUGUUCCAGUUCCUUGAUGCUUGACUCAAAUUCUCUGUGUAUAAUUGUAUCAAAUAUUUAAAAAGUAAAAGGGUCGAAGAAAAUUGUUAAACAUCUGACCAGAAUCCUAUAUACCUUUAUAUAUAUAUUUGAAAAGUAAUAGACUGUGUUGAACAUGACUAUGCUGACCUGUCUGCCUUUUAGCCUGAUUCCUUCACUUUAGUGUUAUGGAAGUCUGUUGGAAACUUUUCCAAUAAGCUAAGUAAUGUUGUACCUUGCAAAAAAGCCUCCACUCUGACAAACAGGGCCUUAUAGAAUAGGAAUGUUUUCAUAUUGGGACUAUGGAGAUUUUACAGAUGUAUACAUCUGUUCCAUUUAAGGUGCCCUUAAAUGUGUUGAAUGUAAUGUGUUAAAUGUCUGUGUGUAAUUGCUAAAAUACAUGUAUGUGCAUAAGAUUGUCACAAGAUGUAUUCUCAGGAAUACUGUUCCCUGGAUUUUGAAGGUGGAUUCAACCAAGGGACUGCUCUUCUGAAAUUAACUUUUGAGAGACCUUGGAAUGAGCAUGUGUCCUCCACAAUAGUGGGUGUAGAUUUACUCAGAUUCAAUUAAAGCAGUU
rnacentral:lncRNA from 1 species